AGGCCUCGAGCUGUCAGCACAGAGCCGGACACGGGGCUUGAACUCAUGAACCAUGAAAUCAUGACCCGAGUCAAAGUUGGACACUCAACCGACUGAGCCACCCAGGUACCCCUCAUCCAGCUUUUUAAUAGGUUUGAUUGGGUUAUUAUAAUGUGAACUAAUAAGCACUAUAAUUUGUUCCUUUAGGGGUUCUUGAAUAUUUUCCUCAAAUUUUAUGUCCUAUUACCUCCAUUCCUAGAAUGUUUUCUAAAUUGGUAUUUAUAAGCAAUUAGCUUUAAUGCACACUCUAUCCUCAAUUGUUAAAAUCUAUAUACCCAUUCCCUGGAAUUAAUUAAUCCAUUUUUAUUGUUAAAAUUUUCUAAAUGAGUAGGAUAUCCCUGUAUCAUUGUUACCUGGGACUCUGUAUCUAACAACAUAGUGGUAUAUGUAUAUCUCUGCUUGCAAAAGGGGUUUCUAUUGAUAUGGCCGUUGUAAUGUAUGGGCGAUUGUCUCUGACUUGGGCCAAGAGACAGAGACCACCGAGUCCCCAUGGGGGGCUCGUGGGGUGUGCAUUCCUUUGGCUAUCAGUGGCUUGUCUAUUAAUGGGAUUAGGUUUUAUAAAGCAGUUAGUAUUUACAGUAAAUGGGUUGGUGGUUAUGUGUAGGUUUAUUUUCUAUAGGUCUAACAUAAAAGCUUGGCUGUUUCCAUUUCUCUGCCACUGUACACACUUUCUCAGGUUCUUAUUUGAGUUUCUAUUUUUAUAAUUUGUUUCCAAGAGUGGUGGUCUAAAUGGUUUAGGGAAUCAAAAGGGCCUUAUAGAUUUAGGUCUAAAUGGUCUAUUUUAAUUUGGUUUAUUUUCAUUAGGUGUAAGCCUGUUAUGUCUAUAUACAUGAGGCUUAAAACUAUAGCCUUAUCUUUUUUUUCUAAUGUUUUAUUUAUUUUUGAGAGACACACACAAAGUGUGAGUGGAGAGGGUCAGGGAGAGAGGGAGACACAAAAUCCAAAGCAGGCUCUAGGCUGUCAGCACAGAACCUGACACAGGGCUUGAACUCACGAAUGGUGCUAUCAGACCUGAGCCGAAGUUGGAGGCUUAACCAACUGAGCCACCCAGGUGCCCCAAAGCUAUUGCCUUUAGCUUAAGUUAGCCUCUCAGCUGUUCUUAUCAAGUCAAUCAGUUCUGUUUUUCUGCCUCACACAAAUACUGUAAAUAAUGCUGUUCUAUCCUGUAGUGCACAGCUUUUAGGCUGAACUUUUAAUUUGUUUUGUUGCUUCCACAUGUAUCAGUAAGGAUGUCCGCCCCUAUCAUAAAUCAUAGUUAAUAGUCCUAAUUUCAUACUACUGAAAUAUAAUAAUGAAAUGAAAUAUAUUAAUAGCAUUCACUGUUUUCCAUGGAGAUAUUGUUAAGAGAUGAUAUAUUAGGUAUAGGUCAUCUUAAUCUCCAGUUUGCUGCUAUAUAAACAAAGAUCUUUGUAAACUAAUAUUAUUUUCCCCAGAUGUUCUGAGUAUUGAUUCAUUUUAGCAUCAAUGAUAAUGGGUUUUAGGUGCAUAAUCUCUACUUUUGUGAGGAUCAGGUUUUGUCUUCCUUUGGACCACAAAUCUAAUAGCCACUGAGUUUCUGUGUCCAAAUCUGUUGGAAUUCCAUUCUAAUUUUUGUCAUUUCUUAUCUGGUUUUAGCUCUCUCUUCAAUGACUCUGAUUGGUUCCAUAUUAAUCAUUUGUUGUAAUUUUGUCUAUUAUCAUGGGCUUUUAGCUUCUAGUUAGCUAAUGCUAUGAGGGUCAAAAUGGUUGAAAUGUAGAUUGGUGCCCUUAGAGGCAAAAGGGUAUGGGUUUCUUCCUAACCUGGAGAUAACUUUUUUUUUUAAGUUUAUUUACUUAUUUUGGGAGAGAGAGAGAGAGUAUGCGAGUGCAGGAGAGGCAGAGAGAGAGGGAGACAGAGACCUGUGCUGUGAGAUCGUGACCUGAGUGGAAAUCAAGAGUCAGACACUUAACUGGGCCACCCAGGCAUCCCUGGAGAUAACUGUUUGUGCUGGUACUUUUCCUUUCUGCCUGUUGGCAUCUGUGUUACUCUAAUGCUUCUAAUAAGAGCACUAGAAGAUCUUCCUUGCUUGCUCUAAUACAAGAUAUAAUUGACUGCAUUGGUUGAUCAGGCCAAUAUUUGGAGUUUCCUUAAUUUUAACUUUUGCCUAAAGUCUUCAAUAGGUCUCUAUGGAUCCUCAGAUGGUAAUAUAUAAUCCGUUCUAUCCCUAAAUCACCUCUUGGAUCAUUUUGGAAGGGUUCGUAAGUCGGGUAUAUUUGCUAUUGUUCUGCUGCCUUUCACAAGUAUGUUCAAUAUAUGUUUUAUCAGAGAGAUGCCUAAUAAGAUUCCAAAUGAUUCGUACUAUGGUAAAGCAGAAUAAGAUAAUUGUUGCGGACAACAUUAGCAUCAAAAUUAUACUAGCCCUAUCAAUUUUGUCUAUUCAAAGGUUGGUUAUAAUUUCAAUAAGACGCCAUAAAUAGUAAACAGUAUCUUAAAUUUAAAAUUUGUCAAGCCAUUAAUGGGCUUUUUCAGAUUUUUGUUAAUAUAAAUUUAUUACAAUUUAUCACUUGUUUCAGUGGAAUUCAAUGGAAUAUGACAUAUUUCACAGCAAUGACUGCUGUUAAUUAUUAUUACUUUGGUUCAGGUUGCAGAUUAUACCAAUUAUUUUGUUCGAGGAGGUGAAUUAAAGCUCAGCGACUGAGUUUGUCUUUGCCAAAAAUGUUCUCAACACAGCUUCACUGGGAAUUUUACAAGCCACCUGCACACAGGGUAGUAAUGUCUUUUAAUAAAGCCAAUAAAGAAAUGCUAUAGCCCGAACAAAUGAUAAAUGAACCACACUAUUGUCCCAGAAAAAGGGAGAUGAUAGGAAUAAAGUCCAAAUUUAGUUGAGGCAUACUUUUGUUAAAAAAAAAAAGUUAACUGAGUAAAUUAGAAUAUCUAAUUGAUUUUAUUAAGCAAUUUAUGAAUCCAACAGCAUCACAAAUAGCAAGUAGAGAGAUGCUCUGAGGAGUUGUACAAAUGGAAGGUUUUUAUAGGAGGGAGAAUGGGGCAAGGAAAUUAUCAGCAAAAGAAAAGAAAGUUUAGUCUCAGGCCAGGAAAGCUUCUUUGAAGUGGGGAGGGACCAGCAGAGUUUGUUAUCAUGCAGAUCACCUCACUGAUGCCGAUCAGGAAAUUUCAGAUUGACUUAAUUUUUUUUAAGUAGGCUCCACACCCAGUAUGAAGGCCAGCUUGGGCUUGAACUCAUGACCCUGAGAUCAAGAGUCCGAGGCUUAAUCAACUGAACCACCGAGGUACCCCCAGAUUCACUUUUAAAAGGUCACAUUGUUGGGGCAACUGGCUGGCUCAGUCAGAAGAGCAUGCCACUCUUGAUAUCAGGGUCAUGAGUUAGAGCCCCAUGAUGGGUGUUAGAGAGUACUUUUAAAAAUAAAUAAAAGGCCACAUUCCUGGGAUAGGGUGAAAUUGUAACUAAAUCUUGGUUUGUUGUUGUUGGGGGCAAAGGACUCCAUUUUGGAUUUCUCUUUUUAACACUUUAUAGGAGUUGACACUCAAGAGAGGCUUAGUCAAGUGAAAACUGACAUCCAGAAGUCAGUGCAAAAAAGUUCUGUGUUGCUAGAGCUUGUUGCUAGGGAACAAGGGCACAGGUGUUGUUUGGCAAGAUGACCUUCCCUAAGAUGCUACUUGGCUUUGCCCCUGCUUUUAAGAGACUUGCCUUUACUGGGGGCAGAAACUAAUUGUCUCAGGGUCUUUGGGAACUAUUUUAAAUCAGCAAAGUUUAUGAUUGCUCAGAGCAAGCAUUCUCCAAUAGUCCCCACAGCUCUCAUUAUUUAUGGUCUCAUGUCUCCUUGACAGUUACAUCAUCUGUUUUCAUUGAUAAGCUGCCAGCCAGGCCCCUCAGCAGCUGAGUUGCUGAGUUUUGAUGGGCGAGAACAGAUGAGAUGAUGAUGUCCUGACACAACUUCCUUCAUUCUUAUAUCAAAACAACUUUACCUCUGAAAACAGUUUGUCCUUCUCAUAAACAAGUGGACUUGACAUCAUACCAAACCAAUACACAACAUAGACAGAGCUGGAAGAAUCUGGACUGUCUGGCCAUUGGGGGCCGGGAAUGGAUGAUAGAUACCUGGGAGGCUGGAGAAACCUAGGACCCUCGUCAGAUAGCCAAUCCAAAUGAGCACAACCUGUCACAAAUUUAAAGCUGCCUCCUGACAAAGACUUUCAUGUGGAGGGUUCCCUACACCCUGAGGCAAUUCAGGUGACUGGGUUCUGAACAGAGUUUCACAGGCUUGGAGCAUCCCCUGUAGCCCUAGUCCUGCUGAUGAGGCGUGGACUGCAUGUGUCCACUGUGUGGGUCAGGAUAGCCUGGAACGAGGCAAUAUUGAAGGAAGCCAGGUCACAGGAUGGGGCUAUUCAGAGUAUGAGUCAGCAGCCUAACAUGCACGGCCUACGAGCCCAUAUGGAGUUUUCCCCACAAGGCAGAGCUGAAGGUUUUCCAUCUGCUUUGCCAGGGAGGGAACACUGGCAGGACAGGAUAUCCUCCAUUUAGACGUAUCUGGGAGUCCUGGUCCCUAGAGAAGCCUAGGACACCAUUGGCUGCAAGUUCACAUGGGGACCAUUGCCCAUUUGCAGCUUUCACUCAGGGUGAUUUUUGAAAGGUGGGCUCCCUCCAUGCUAAAAGCUAUGAGGGUGAUUGGAGCCUGGAGGGAGUUUGACAAGUUUAGAGAGCUGCGUCUGCCCAAGUCCAGCUUCUGGGUGCAUAAUGCGCAUGUACAGGCUACACAGGUAAAGCCAGGGACAUGGAACAGGGCAAUGUUGGGCAAGACCCAGUCACCUGAGGGGGCUUUGGAGGUAACGGACAUGUGCCUAAUCCCAAACUUUCACCUACACAAAUAGACGUUCUCACUGAAGGCAGAUCUGGAGUAAUCUGGAGUGCCUGAUCAGGUUUAAUCGGCGGUCUGGCUAGAGUAUCCUCUAAUAAGGACACCUGGCAACCUUGAUUACUGCAGAAGCCCCAGAACCCAGCCGACACUAAGUCUUCAUGGGCUCUGCCCAGCUCCCAUUUCAGAGGCUGUUCAGGGUGUUGGGUCCCUGCACCCUUGAGACUGUGCAGGUGGUUGGGGAUGGGUCUCAGCUCCAAAGGCCUAGUGGCCCCAGCUGCUGAAGGACAGCUAAUGGGGUACAUACUCCUCAUGAUGUGGGCUGUGCAGGUUAAUGUAGCCGUGGACCUGAGAAAAGGUGAGUGUCUUGUAAGGCCAGGUCACAAGAGCAGACUAUUAGAAGUACCAGGCAUCUGUCUAAUUAUAAGGCUUCACCUAACAAAUGUGUAUUUUCCCCUUUAAGCAGAGCUGGAGAAAUCUGGACGGCCUUACUAGGACCAGCUGGAAUGCCCCCUUAUAAGACACAGCUGGGAUCCUUAAUUGCUGGAGAAGUCAGCUCCCUUUCAGACAGUUCGAACGGGGCCUGACAGUUCCCAGUUUAACUUAGGGCUUCAGGAAAAUUUGGGGGGGGGGAUGUGGGCUCUCUCCACCCUGAAGGCUAGCAGGUGAUAGGCAACUGGUUCGAGCCUCACAGGCCUGGAGAAUUCCAACAGCCAAAAGCUGGCAGACAGUGUGGAAUGUACAUUACAGCUGGCAGGUCAUGAUUUCCAGUGUCCCAGAACAGAGCAUAUCAGGUAGAGCUGGAUGUUUUCAACUGCCUUGUCCCGGUGGGGACCUGCCAGCAAGACAGCUUACCUUUCAUUUGGAGACACCUUGAAGUCCUGGUCCCUAGAGAAGCCCAGGACCCCAUCAGGCAAUAAAACUAUUAAUCUGGACUGCCAAGACUGAGCCAGGUGGCCUGACUAGGAAACGUUUACUAAAGGCAUCUAGGAGCCUUGCUUGUUGGUAAGCCCAGGACCCCAUCAGGUAGCUGGUCGAAAUGGGAGAUCUUUCCACCCUUAAAGCUAAUGCCUCAGAAAGACUUUUUGGGAUUCUGCACACUCUUCCCUGUAAUGCAAGUGGAUGAGGACCAUUUGGAGCUGCAGAGGCCUACAAUGCCCCAGCUACCCAAGGCUGACAGGCCAGCUAGAAGAAUCUUGAAUAAUAGAAAAAACUUUUCCUCCACAACAGCAUAGUUGGCAGGAUAAACUUUCCUAGCGGGAUACUGCUGCAGCUGAGAAAUCCCGGGACAUCUGACAAAAAGCCAGCAAAAGAUAAAACAGGCGACCAAAAUCUCCUACAAAAGAUCAACAGAAGUCCACGUUUCGGGACUAAUAGAAACCAAUGUUGAAUUGUGUAUUCAGAAACAAGGCUUUUGUUGAAAUGCUCUAUACAGACCUUACAAAGGCAUAAGUCUUUUGAUACCUAUUUUAGUUAAAAAUCCCUCUACUAUAAAGUAGCAAGUUUGAUUAAAAAGGCCACCUAGAAGAACCUUGAAGGGUAGAAUAAAAGUUUUCCUUCCCAACAUUUGGCAUAGUCAGUAGGAUACACUUCCCUCACUGGACACUGUUUGCUUUGAGGCUCUUGCAGCUGACACAUCCUGGAACAUCUGACAAACAGCCAGCAGAAGACAAAAGGUUAACUCUGAUGCUACUGCAAAAGUCUUUCAUCUUCAAAGAGAUUCAGGGAAAGGACUCUGACAAGUACUCUUGAAUACAGGUCUCUACUAACUUUAAGAUUAUGUCAUUGAACUGGAAAUGCCUCUUAUUUAAUACCUGCUUGAACCAUGAGCCUAACUUUGGGAACACACAUCCAUCACCACUUCCUGAAAUGAAUUUAGUAGAACUGAUCUAUUUUCAACUCUAAGAGACUAGCUCAGUGAGAUAAAACAAUCUACCAGCUCACAUUUUAGUAUGUGGAGUUUCUAAGGAACUCUAGGGGCCCAGGCCAGGCCACCCUAAAAUAUGCCACUUUAUCAUGUUAUUUUGAAUUAAAGCUAUUUAAGAACAGAAGAACAUUCUGACUCUCUUUGUCUCCAGAUAGCAGGAAAUAAAUCUCCAAUGUGAAAGCUAUCCUUCCUGCAUCAGGGAGCAGAAAGACAUCCUUAUCACCUGAAAUAGGUAUUUAGAGCCAAGAAGACUGUAUAAAUCAGCAAGUCUUGUUACUUUUACUAGUUUACUACCUCAGCCCAAAUUCUGUUUAGAAUUGUAUGCUAAUUAAAGCCAAUGAACAUAAGUUUUCUCUGCUUUGUCCAUUCCUCACAGAUUUAUGGUUCUUUGCCUAAACAUACAACAGCUGCUUGCUUUGGUCAUGUGGGGAGUCUCAAUUUCAUUAUUGGACGUCUGUGUAUACAAAAUAAAAUUUUUUUUCUUGUGUUAA